GACCUUCAGCGUUGCCCUGGCGGAGCAGAGACAGGCCCUCGGGGUGGAGGUCUUUGGUUUCAUAAGAGCCUGAGAGAGAUUUUUCUAAGAUAUGUGUAACACACCAACGUACUGUGACCUAGGAAAGGCUGCUAAGGAUGUCUUCAACAAAGGAUAUGGCUUUGGCAUGGUCAAGAUAGACCUGAAAACCAAGUCUUGUAGUGGAGUGGAAUUUUCUACUUCUGGUCAUGCUUACACUGAUACAGGGAAAGCAUCAGGCAACCUAGAAACCAAAUAUAAGGUCUGUAACUAUGGACUUACCUUCACCCAGAAAUGGAACACAGACAAUACUCUAGGGACAGAAAUCUCUUGGGAGAAUAAGUUGGCUGAAGGGUUGAAACUGACUCUUGAUACCAUAUUUGUACCGAACACAGGAAAGAAGAGUGGGAAAUUGAAGGCCUCCUAUAAACGGGAUUGUUUUAGUGUUGGCAGUAAUGUUGAUAUAGAUUUUUCUGGACCAACCAUCUAUGGCUGGGCUGUGUUGGCCUUCGAAGGGUGGCUUGCUGGCUAUCAGAUGAGUUUUGACACAGCCAAAUCCAAACUGUCACAGAAUAAUUUCGCCCUGGGUUACAAGGCUGCGGACUUCCAGCUGCACACACAUGUAAUCUUUAUUGAACUCUACUUUGAAGUUUCUAAGUUCUAUGAACUUCUCAGAGACCUAUAGAUUAUACUUACCCGAGGUGUCUGCCUUUGUGCUUAAUUGAAUUGUCUUAAGAAACUCACAUCAUGUGGAGGAGCCAAGAACGAUGGCACUGAAUUUGGAGGUUCUAUCUACCAGAAGGUGAAUGAGAAGAUUGAAACAUCCAUAAACCUUGCUUGGACAGCUGGGAGUAACAACACCCGUUUUGGCAUUGCUGCUAAGUACAUGCUGGAUUGUAGAACUUCUCUCUCUGCUAAAGUAAAUAAUGCCAGCCUGAUUGGACUGGGUUAUACUCAGACCCUUCGACCAGGAGUCAAAUUGACUUUAUCAGCUUUAAUCGAUGGGAAGAACUUCAGUGCAGGAGGUCACAAGGUUGGCUUGGGAUUUGAACUGGAAGCUUAAUGUGGUUUGAGGAAAGCAUCAGAUUUGUCCCUGGAAGUGAAGAGAAAUGAACCCACUAUGUUUUGGCCUUAAAAUUCUUCUGUGAAAUUUCAAAAGUGUGAACUUUUUAUUCUUCCAAAGAAUUGUAAUCCUCCCCACACUGAAGUCUAGGGGUUGCGAAUCCCUCCUGAGGGAGAUGCUUGAAGGCAUGCCUGGAAGUUGUCAUGUUUGUGCCACGUUUCAGUUCAGUUCUGAAGUGUUAUUAAAUGUGUUCCUCAGCGACAGUGUAGCGUCAUGUUAGAGGAGACGAUCUGACCCACCAGUUUGUACAUCACGUCCUGCAUGUCCCACACCAUUUUUUCAUGACCUUGUAAUAUACUGGUCUCUGUGCUAUAGUGGAAUCUUUGGUUUUGCAUCAUAGUAAAAUAAAAUAAACCCAUCACAUUUGGAACAUAACUGCUCAUGUGACUUGCUGGUGAUGGUUUUCUUACCUUGA